rnacentral:rRNA from 1 species
UACAGAUGUCUCAAGCGUUGUUCGGAUUCAUUGGGCGUAAAGGGUGCGUAGGUGGCUCGGUAAGUCGGGUGUGAAAUUUCGGAGCUUAACUCCGAAACUGCAUUCGAUACUGCCGUGCUUGAGGACUGGAGAGGAGACUGGAAUUUACGGUGUAGCAGUGAAAUGCGUAGAGAUCGUAAGGAAGACCAGUGGCGAAGGCGGGUCUCUGGACAGUUCCUGACACUGAGGCACGAAGGCCAGGGGAGCAAACGGG